ensembl:lncRNA
GUGCGUGCGUGCGUGCGUGCGUGUGUGUGUGUGCGUGCGUGUAUGUGCGCGCGCUAGCACGGGGUCCUUUUUUAUGUUUACUGUAGUUACCAUGGUAACUCUGCUAGCUAGUGUGAUGUGGUUGUCGCUGUGUCCCUCACCCUGAACCACACACACCAUUUUCUCAGCUGGAGUUCAGACAUGUAAUACUGACUAUGAGCUGACUGUGGAAGGGAGCUAACUGGUGUGUGUGUGUGUGUGUGUGAAAUUCUGAUGCAUGGAUGAAACUGACAGAAGAAACUGAGGAGAAAUGAGUGUGUGUGUGUGUGUGUGUGUAGUGAAAUUACUCCGUGUUUCCCAGUUUUCAUUUUGUCUGGUUGUGAAUUAUUUUGAACGCGUUUCUCUCCCUCGCUUCUCCUCCUCUUCCUGCGCGUUUAGUCGGAUCACGGCGGCGUGAAAGUGACCCGAGUGAAACCCUGGUUCCCGGCUCUUCGACACGUGGGCCGGUUCGUCCAGCAACACAGCACGUGUGAUUGGCGGAACAGGAAGUCAGUCUUUACGCUCCAGCAGCAGCUUGUUAGCGGCUAAUUAAGUCCUGUCUGUCUCUCCCCACCCGUCUGUCUCUCUCCCUGCCUCUCCCUGUCUGUCUCCCCCUCUCUCUCUCCAUCUGUCUCUCUCCCUCUUUCUCCCUGUCUGUCUUUCCCCCUCUCUCUCUCUCCAUCUGUCUCUCUCCCUCCCUCUCCCUGUCUGUCUCUCACUCUCUCUCUCCAUCUGUCUCUCUCCCUCUCUCUCCCUGUCUGUCUCUCCCCUCUCUCUCUCCAUCUGUCUCUCUCCCUCUUUCUCCCGGUCUGUCUCUCCCCCUCUCUCUCCGUGUGUGUGCGCGUGUGUGUGAGGAGAGUGGUGGUUCUCUCUGCACUUUGAGUGUGUCCUGCUUUUCUCAUCGCUCACUUCAUUUAAUCCUCUGUCACUCUACACGACUUUAAGCCCGGGUUCGCCGACACACACCCUUUGAACGGCGAGCAAUCUCCAGUCGGUCGUU